rnacentral:rRNA from 1 species
CGAACGCUGGCGGCGUGGAUUAGGCAUGCAAGUCGAACGGAACUUCUAGCUUUUUCGGAAGUUUAGUGGCGAAAGGGUGAGUAACACGUGGGUUACCUGCCCUAGGGUUCGGGAUAACCUGUCGAAAGACGGGCUAAUACCGGAUACGUCCUGCAUUUUUCGAAAUGCAGGGGAAAGAUGGGGAUCCGUAAGGACCUAUCACCCUUGGAUGGGCCCGUGGCCUAUCAGCUAGUUGGUGAGGUAAUGGCUCACCAAGGCUAAGACGGGUAGCUGGUCUGAGAGGAUGGUCAGCCACACUGGAACUGAGACACUGUCCAGACACCUACGGGUGGCUGCAGUCGAGAAUCUUUCGCAAUGGGGGAAACCCUGACGACGCGACGCCGCGUGGAGGAUGAAGGCCUUCGGGUUGUAAACUCCUGUCAGCAGGGGAGAACAAGCUGUCGAUGAAUAAUUGACAGCUUUGACAGUACCUGCAGAGGAAGCCACGGCUAACUCU